GUUCAAGUCUAAUGAUAUUCUCAAGAAGCAAACUGCGUUGAAGGGUGAGAGGCAUAUUUCGGCAUUAAUUGGAAUCUCUGUAGCGUUUUCGGCCCAUGUUGUUGGUGUUUAUUGGUGGUUUCGGAAGGAUGACCUCUUGUAUCCCUUAAUCAUGCUGCCUCCAAAAUCCAUACCACCUUUCUGGCAUGCCAUUUUUAUCAUAGUGGUGAAUGAUACACUUGUCCGGCAAGCCUCUAUGAUUUUCAAGUGUUUUCUCUUGAUGUACUACAAGAACAGUAGGGGUCGAAAUUAUCGUAAACAGGUGAUGUAGGACAAAAUAUAUAUAU